GUGGGGAAUCUUGCGCAAUGGGCGAAAGCCUGACGCAGCCAUGCCGCGUGGAUGAUGAAGGUCUUAGGAUUGUAAAAUCCUUUCACCGGUGAAGAUAAUGACUGUAGCCGGAGAAGAAGCCCCGGCUAACUUCGUGCCAGCAGCCGCGGUAAUACGAAGGGGGCUAGCGUUGCUCGGAUUUACUGGGCGUAAAGGGCGCGUAGGCGGACAUUUAAGUCAGGGGUGAAAUCCCGGGGCUCAACCUCGGAACUGCCUUUGAUACUGGGUGUCUUGAGUAUGAGAGAGGUGUGUGGAACUCCGAGUGUAGAGGUGAAAUUCGUAGAUAUUCGGAAGAACACCAGUGGCGAAGGCGACACACUGGCUCAUUACUGACGCUGAGGCGCGAAAGCGUGGGGAGCAAACAGGAUUAGAUACCCUUGUAGUCC
rnacentral:rRNA from 1 species